ensembl:lncRNA
CGGACCUGGAUCUAGUCAUGCAAUUGGCGUGUCGGCACCAUUUACGGUUUGGGCUGUGGGCCCACUUUUAGCGCAGGGAAAAUAAUAACUAGAACUGCAAGCAGUUAUGCAGGGGUCCAAGAAGUGUGCAUUUCGCCGGCACAACGCGACAAGAAAUGUGCGUUUCGCCGGCACAACGCGAAGCAAGUGUUCAAAACGCUACCGUGAACAACAUGUGGAUAUAAAGGUUUUGACUGUGGGAGCUUCGGUGUGGGAGUUAUAGCCUAAAACGCGUUUUCAGAACAUUGGCCAAAUAGGAGAUAGACAAUGUCGUCGUUUUUUGGCGCCGCCCUGUGGCGACAUUUUCCAAAGACAAUUUUCCUUUGCCAAAAACUCCCGCCCACAUUAAUAAUUCUUGGCCAUAUUUUCUAUAUAGAUUCGGGUUUGCCCCUUGAUGGUUUCCC